UAAAGUAUUGAAGGUAAGGAGUUUAUGUGACCUCUGCUGUGUCUGGUAAAGUUAUCCUUAUUCUAUCUUUCUUUUUCGGAUGAUGUUUGGCCGGUAAACCCAUCGGGGAUUCUCUGUUAAAUAUGUUUAAGCACUGGUCAGGAGGUGUUUAUAUGGGGUAACCAUUGCGUUUUUCCCGGUUGUUGAGUGAUGGGAGGUUGUUUAAAUUCUUUCUUUCCCCUUGAGCUCUAAUAUUU
rnacentral:lncRNA from 1 species